AGAAUCAACGCUGGCGGCGUGCCUAACACAUGCAAGUCGCACGAGAAAGGGGAGCAAUCCCUGAGUACAGUGGCGCACGGGUGAGUAACACGUGAAUAAUCUACCUCCGAGUGGGGAAUAACUGAGAGAAAUCUUAGCUAAUACCGCAUAACACUUACGAGUCAAAGCAGCAAUGCGCUUGGAGAGGAGUUCGCGGCCGAUUAGUUAGUUGGCGGGGUAAUGGCCCACCAAGACGAUGAUCGGUAUCCGGCCUGAGAGGGCGCACGGACACACUGGAACUGAGACACGGUCCAGACUCCUACGGGAGGCAGCAGUUAGGAAUCUUGCGCAAUGGGAGAAAUCCUGACGCAGCGAUGCCGCGUGAGGGACGAAGGCCUUCGGGUUGUAAACCUCUUUUAGUUGGGAAGAUACAAGACGGUACCAACAGAAAAGCACCGGCUAACUCUGCGCCAGCAGCCGCGGUAA
rnacentral:rRNA from 1 species